rnacentral:rRNA from 1 species
UUUAACGGCCGCGGUAUUCUAACCGUGCAAAGGUAGCGUAAUCACUUGUCUUCUAAAUAAAGACUCGUAUGAACGGCUAAAUGAGGACAGACCUGUCUCUUACAACUAAUCAGUGAAACUGAUCACCCAGUACAAAAGCUGGGAUAAAAACAUUAGACGAGAAGACCCUGUGGAGCUUCAAGUACGCCAUCAACUAGCANUGCACACUGACC